CCUGAUCCCUUCCCGAACUCAGAAGUGAAACAUCAUUGCGCCAAUGGUAGUGUGGAUUCGUCCAUGUGAGAGUAGGUCAUCGUCAGCU
rnacentral:rRNA from 1 species